rnacentral:lncRNA from 1 species
AUUUGUUCUUCUUGUCCUCUCAGCGGGCAUCAAUAUGCAAGACAUACUGUAUCACCUCUGUGUGUGUUAGUAGUAUGCGCUACAGGACAGCACCUCCUGAGAGAGGAAUCAUGUUUGCUAACGCAGGCAGUCAUCACAUCAUUGACCUCAUUGGUGAUGGUGUUGUUGCGUGAAUGCAGAUGCUGUUAUUGAGAGACCCUUGCACGAUGGUAAUGGGAGUGUGUGUGUGUGUGUGUGUGUGUGUGUGUGUGUGUGUGUGCCUUGUGUGUGGGCGUGUGUGUGUGUGUCUCUGUGUGUGUAAGUGCGUGCCUCUGUGUGUGUGUGUCUCUGUGUGUGUAAGUGCAUGCCUCUGUGUGUGUGUGUGUCUCUGUGUAUGUGUGUGUGUCUCUGUGUAUGUGUGUGAGAGAGGUUCAGGAGGGCAGGGUUUUAAAUGCAGGUGGUACUAUUAAUGGAUAAAUGUAUUAUAAUCAGUAUUAAAAACAUUGUUAAUGUCAAUGUAAUGAUGAGACUCAAGUAGAACCCUUAUUCUAGAGGUCUGAUCUCCUCAUCCCAUCCUCUUCCGCUGACUUCCACCGGCUCCCCAACCUGACCACAGUCCCAUUUUAGGUGUAUGCGACGCAGGUCACUUUGAAACCCCGGUCCCUGCAAUUUUGCCUCCCUAGUCAAGAUCAAAAUGGGUAAGAAUAUCCUAAGAAAUAGGUUGAAUUACCAGAGCUUCUCACGUGGCCCAUUUCUAUUAGUCUAACAGUAUUAUUGGGCUAUAUCAGCCAAAAAAGCUAAGCUAGUUUGAAAGAGAGUAGAGUUGGGGAGAAAUAAUCCCUUUCCUCCAGUCAAAUGACCAAAUCGCCCUCUAGGGACCUCAUGGGGGGGAAUAUUAUUCAUAUUUUUCAUAAUUUCAUUAUUUUUUUAAAAUUAUGUCAAACGUUUUUUUUUAUAUUGCAGUCUUCUGUGAUGUAUAUAAAGUGUAAUAUUGGUAUGCAAAAUGUAUGUAACGGGCGUCGUAAGGAUUGGACCAAGUUGCAGCGGUAACGUUUAUACUCAUCUUCUUUAUUACAUUUAAAAGAAGUGAAAAACAAACAAAUCAAACGUAAACAAAAACAACGAACGACAUAAAACAGUCCUGUCAGGCGCACAGACACUAAACAGGUGUCACGACUCCCGCCGAAGUCGGCCCCUCUCCUUGUUCGGGCGGCGUUCGGCGGUCGAAGUCACCGGCUCUCUAGCUGCCACCGAUCGAUGUUUCACUGUUCGUUUGGUUUUGUCUUUAUUGUGUACACCUGUUUUCAUUUUCCCUAAUUAUGUUCAUUAUUUAAACCUCUGCAUUUCCUGUUUGUCUUGUCGGUGAUUGUUUGUCUGUUUUAUGUAGUUGGAGGUGUUUCUCCAAAAAUAUGUAUUUUGAUGAGAAGAUUUAUGGAUAAUUUUAGUAAACACGUUUUGUUUACCUUUAUCCCUGUGUCCUGCGCCUGACUCCUCCACUUCUCUAAGAAAAGCAUUACAACAGGAGACAACUACCCACAAACCCCAAUAGCACAAACACCCCUAUACAUAGGACCUUCAAUCAGAGGGAACGAGGAACAGCUGCCUCCAAUUGAAGGUCAAUCAACAAACCCUAAACAUAGAAGUAGAAAAACUAGACUGAACAUAGAAAAACACUAACCUAGAACAUAGACCAAAACCCCCGGAACACUCUAAACAAACACCCCUCUGACAUAAUAACAUAACCCAACAAACCCCGAACCACAUAAAACAAACACCCCCUGCCACGUCCUGACCAAACUGCAAUAACAAAUAACCCCUUAUACUGGUCAGGACGUGACAAUGUAAUACAUUUCAACUGUAUAUCUGACAUGGUACAGGUGUCUUCUUUGAUUUAAGUCCAUAACCAGGUGUGUGAGAUGUCUGUUCACUGGACGAGCUACCUUGUCCCGGACCUGCUGUGUUAGACUCUCUCUCUCUCUACCUGCUGUCUCUAACUCUGAAUGAUCGGCUAUGAAAAGACAACUGACAUUUACAGCUGAGGUGCUGACCUGUUGCACCCUCUACAACCACUGUGAUUAUUAUUAUCUGCUCUUGGCCAUGUUCUGUUAUAAUCUCCACCCGGCACAGCCAGAAGAGUCACCCCUCAUAGCCUGGUUCAUCUCUAGGUUUCUUCCUAGGUUCUGGCCUUUCAUGGGAGUUUUUCCUAGCCACCUGUGCUUCUACACCUGCAUUGCUUGCUGUUUUGGGGUUUUAGGCUGGGUUUCUGUACAGCACUUUGAGAUAUCGGCUGAUGUAAAAAGGGCUUUAUAAAUACAUUUGAUUUAUUAAAUUGAUUGAUGUACUUUUGUUUCAAAGUAGAUUUGUUUAACACUACCAAGAAUCACCCUGUGUGACCCUGAUUCAGCCCACUGCAGUAAGGUCAUAUAGGAGACUUGACAGCCUACUGCAGUAAGGUCAUAUAGGAGACUUGACAGCCUACUGCAGUAAGGUGAUAUAGGAGACUUGACAGCCCACUGCAGUAAGGUGAUAUAGGAGACUUGACAGCCCACUGCAGUAAGGUGAUAUAGGAGACUUGACAGCCCACUGCAGUAAGCUGAUAUAGGAGACUUGAGCUACAUGAGCAACUUUUGACAUACGUUUUAGGAGCGUGACGAUUUUCAAGCGUGAGAGUAAAAUAUAUGUGUUAUCAAUAUUUAUUUUCCAGUCAGCGUCGGAGUCGGAGACGUGCUUCCCCGCCCAUAUCGACUAGUCUACAGGAUAUUGAAUUGAGAUCACACACAGGCUACCUGAAAUCUAAAUGGAAGAAAAACUAUACAUUUGUACAGAAAAUACAUGUAUUGAAAUUGGUAACAACAGUAACAAUAAAUUAACAACAUAUUUGACAAUAGAAGUAACAGCAGUUAACACAUUUGUAACCAAAUAAGAGCAUCAUUACAACACUAAUGUAAAAACUAUAUUGUGUGCCAAUGGGCUGUGGGGGAGAGAGAGGCAAUGAGAAAGAGGGAUCAGGGGCCCUAUGAUCAGGGGCCCUAUGAUCAGGGGCCCUAUGAUCAGGGGCCCUAUGACCAGGGGCCCUAUGAUCAGGGGCCCUAUGAUCAGGGGCCACUCUAUUUGGGUUAAGGGGGUUCAGAGAGGAGGUGAAACGUACAACGGGACAGUUUGGUCAGGAGAGGAUCCAGGAGAGAGGAUCCAGGAGAGAGGAUCCAGGAGAGAGGAUCCAGGAGAGAGGAUCCAGGAGAGAGGAUCCAGGAGAGAGGAUCCAGGAGAGAGAAGUCAGGAGAGAGGAUCCAGGAGAGAGGAUCCAGGAGAGAGGAUCCAGGAGAGAGGAUCCAGGAGAGAGGAUCCAGGAGAGAGAAGUCAGGAGAGAGGAUCCAGGAGAGAGGAUCCAGGAGAGAGAAGUCAGGAGGGAGGAUCCAGGAGAGAGAAGUCAGGAGGGAGGAUCCAGGAGAGAGGAUCUGUAGCAAUCCUCCUCAGUUCUGAUUGGUCAGCUCUUCUCACCCCUAGGACAAGCAUAGAUAAAGAAAGAAAAGCAUGAGAGAAAGAGACACCUGGGCUGAAUGGGUAAAAAGACAGGGGACAAGGGACAUAUCAAGCUGGUGUCAUGUGUGUCAGUGGAGGCUCCUCAGAGGAGGAAGGAGAGAACCAUCCUCUUCUGGGAAUUUCAUACAAAUAAAAAUAGUGAAACAUUAAAAAGGUUAUCCUUUUUAGGUAAAACUAUACUAAAUAUAUUCACUGUUUUGCAAUGGUCUACAGUAGCCUGAACAGCACUCUGUAGGGUAGCUCCAUGGUGUAGCCGGAGGACAGCUAGCUUCCGUCCUCCUCUGGGUACGUUGACUUCAAUACAAAACCUAGGAGGCUCAUGGUUCUCACCCGCUUCCAUAGACUUAGACAGUAAUCAUGACAACCUCCGGAGGACGUCCUCCAACCUAUCAGAGCUCUUGCAGCAUGAACUGACAUGUUGUCCACCC